CUGCGAGCCGAGCCCGAGAGCGGUGCGGGCCGGUUCCCACUGUGCCCCGUUUCAAAAUAAAGGAGGCGCCCCAGAGACAGCGGCCCUGGGACUCUGCCGCCCGAGGAAGAUCCUGGCUCCGCAGGGAGGAGGAGGGAUGGAGUCAGCAGUGACCAGGAAUUCAGGGCUGACAUCCUAGGACUCAGGAUGGCAGGGAAGUGUACAGCAGUCUGCAGUGAAGGUGCAUCAGGAAAAUUCUAGCUUGGAUGGCUAAAGCAUCUCUGAAAUAGACAAAUUUCAGUUCAAGAGUCCUGGUGUUUGAUUAGAGUGAUUGGAAGAUUCCAGGGUAUUAAAAACCUCUUCAUGCAUCA